GCAACACUCUCUCCACUUGUGAUUUCCAGCAACUGGUAUUCAGAGGGCACCCAAGUGACCAGUAUCCUUGGACAAGUAGAAUAAACUCAAGGCACAUUCUAAAGCAAGCAGAUGACAGAAUGACACAAACUUACAUCCAGCGAAGGCUCCGGCAUAUCAGAUGUCCCCUGCCCACCAGUCUGACCUUCUAAGGCUGAGGAGGGGUUAAAGGCCAG